CCUGGUGCUCGACUUCCUUGUAUUUGGGAAAGUGUGGUGGUGGGUGCGCGCUCGCGGCGGAGGGUAAACAUUCGACAGUCCCCGCUCUGAGAGGGAGGGACAGAGAGCGAACUGUCAGAUCCGAGCGGAGCGGGCGGGCGAGAGAGGGAGGGAGAGGGAAAGAGAGAGGGAGAGCGCGCAAACCAGGGCGCAGAGCGAGCUCCCGCGGCAACUCGGCUCCAGCACGGCCAGCGCCAGCGCCGCCGUCGGUGCACCCUCGGAGCCGUGCAUCCUGCCCACUGGAGUUGGUUGUGUAUCAAGGAUCCCCUAUAUGCACACACACACCUCCACCUCCACCAAUGCACUCUUCUUCCUCCUCCUCCUCCAGACCUCUGCUGGGAAAAAAAUAAAACACCAACCCCAACCUUCAGCAGCAAGAGGCAACCAAGAGCUCGGGCAAUAGCAACUUCAGAGAAAUGCACCAUCGCAAGAAGUUUUCCUAGGACAGAACAAAACUUGAAACGCGAGGACCAGAGGGGGAGAGCAGGAGCCAGCCUCUCCUCUCGGCACGCGAGCAGCCAGCAUCACCACGCCUUCAAGGACGAAAAAAGUUUUACUACUCUAAGGGGAGACGAGUGAGCUGCGUUCCUGAGAAGGAGGCGUCAAGGAGCGGCUGGUCGCUGGUCGUCCACGGUUCGGUGAAGAAGAAAGGAGCGGCUUCUUUCUUUGUUGUCCCCCGUGAAAUCUUCACUUAGCAGGUGGACCGAGCCCCGCGCCCGGGCAGGGUCCGCGCUCGCCCGAGGACAGGAGGAGGAGCGCGAGCCGGCGCGCCCGGCCCGGAGCCUCAGCGCAGGCCCGCGCCCCGCCCGGCGAGCCCCACUGGAGCGAGCCGACCGCGCCGGGGCUGGGGGGCGGCCACGACCCCCCCUGAGGGGGGAGGCCACGGAGCGCGCCUCGAGAAGCGAGCCCCCCUCCCCGGAGCGCGGCUCCUGGUGCUGCUGCUGCUGCUGCUGACCAAGGCCGGCCGGCGACCCCCGCGCCCUGCCCAGCGGCCUUGCAGCUGCAGCCGGCGGCCGCGGCGGCGGCGGCGGCGGGGGCGGAGGCGGCGGCGGCGGCGGCGGGGCCGGCGGGGGCGGCGGGGGCCCCGGGGACAGAGAGAAAAUGUGAAGUUAAAUGUAAUAAUACAGUUAAGAAUUCACAGAUUAUUUUAAAUCAUGUUUUAAAGACUAUUUUUCCAUAAAACAAUAACAAUACGCAAACUACUCUUUCCAAAACCAAAUACUAGUCAAUACUUUGAUUUGUACUUGAAAUAAGACUUAAAAGAAACAUACGAAUUAAUAUAUGUC
rnacentral:lncRNA from 1 species